UACGAAGGGGGCUAGCGUUGCUCGGAAUCACUGGGCGUAAAGCGCACGUAGGCGGCUUUCUAAGUCAGGGGUGAAAUCCUGGAGUUCAACUCCAGAACUGCCUUUGAUACUGGAGAGCUUGAGUCCGGAAGAGGUGAGUGGAACUCCGAGUGUAGAGGUGAAAUUCGUAGAUAUUCGGAAGAACACCAGUGGCGAAGGCGGACUCACUGGUCCGGUACUGACGCUGAGGUGCGAAAGCGUGGGGAGCAAACAGGGAUUAAGAA
rnacentral:rRNA from 1 species